rnacentral:rRNA from 1 species
UACGUAGGGUGCAAGCGUUGUCCGGAAUUAUUGGGCGUAAAGAGCUCGUAGGCGGUUUGUCGCGUCUGCUGUGAAAACCCGGGGCUUAACCCCGGGUCUGCAUUCGAUACGGGCAGACUGGAGUGUGGUAGGGGAGAUCGGAAUUCCUGGUGUAGCGGUGAAAUGCGCAGAUAUCAGGAGGAACACCGGUGGCGAAGGCGGAUCUCUGGGCCAUUACUGACGCUGAGGAGCGAAAGCGUGGGGAGCGAACAGG